rnacentral:rRNA from 1 species
GACGAACGCUGGCGGCGUGCUUAACACAUGCAAGUCGAACGAUGAAGCCGGAGCUUGCUCCGGUGGAUUAGUGGCGAACGGGUGAGUAACACGUGAGCAAUCUGCCCUUGACUCUGGGAUAACUGCGGGAAACUGUAGCUAAUACCGGAUACGACACCUUGGGGCAUCCCAGGGUGUGGAAAGAAUUUCGGUCAAGGAUGAGCUCGCGGCCUAUCAGCUAGUUGGUGAGGUAAUGGCUCACCAAGGCGACGACGGGUAGCCGGCCUGAGAGGGUGACCGGCCACACUGGAACUGAGACACGGUCCAGACUCCUACGGGAGGCAGCAGUGGGGAAUAUUGCACAAUGGGCGAAAGCCUGAUGCGGCAACGCCGCGUGAGGGAUGAAGGCCUUCGGGUUGUAAACCUCUUUUAGCAGGGAAGAAGCGAAAGUGACGGUACCUGCAGAAAAAGCACCGGCUAACUACGUGCCAGCCGCCGCAGUAU